rnacentral:lncRNA from 1 species
CAAGAACUUGCAUUUGAAGGACCCUAUGGACAGCCAAGACAUGAUCCCUACCAUAACACAUACAAUCCACAUUGGGGAGACCAUCCAAAUUAUUGCUAUGCAAGGGACCAACAAGUACAUGCAUUUAAAGGAUUCUAUGAACAACCAAGACAUGAUCCAUACUAUAACACAUACAAUCCAGGUUGGAGAGACUAUCCAGACUUCAGUUAUGCAGAGGCUAACAACUAUCAGGAUUAUCAAGGAUAUCAAGCCCAACCAGAACCUCAAAGUUCCAAUCUUGAUGAGAUUAUGAAGACUUUGCAGAGUAUCCAACAGCAACAGGAUCAAUUGAACAAAUCAUUGAAUGCAACCAU